rnacentral:rRNA from 1 species
AGAUUGAACGCUGGCGGCAGGCCUAACACAUGCAAGUCGAGCGGUAGAGAGGUGCUUGCAUCUCUUGAGAGCGGCGGACGGGUGAGUAAUGCCUAGGAAUCUGCCUAGUGGUGGGGGAUAACGUUCGGAAACGGACGCUAAUACCGCAUACGUCCUACGGGAGAAAGCGGGGGACCUUCGGGCCUCGCGCCAUUAGAUGAGCCUAGGUCGGAUUAGCUAGUUGGUGAGGUAAUGGCUCACCAAGGCGACGAUCCGUAACUGGUCUGAGAGGAUGAUCAGUCACACUGGAACUGAGACACGGUCCAGACUCCUACGGGAGGCAGCAGUGGGAAUAUGGACAAUGGGACGAAGGCCUGAUCCAGCCAUGCCGCGUGUGUAGAAGAAGGUCUUCGGAUUGUAAAGCUAGUUUAAGUGGAGGAAGGUUGUAAACUAAUACGUUGCUAAUUUGUACGUUACGACAGAAUAAGACACCGACUAACUUCGUGACCAGCAGCCGUA